UUUAUAUGAGAGCGGCGAACGGGUGAGUAAUACAUGGGCAAUCUGCCUUUUAGCUUGGGAUAGCUUCCGGAAACGGAUGGUAAUACCAAAUGUGAUCGUCUACCGCAUGGUAGACUGUUUAAAGGAGGGGAAUCUUCGGAUCCUUUCACUAAAAGAUGAGCCCAUGUCCUAUCAGCUAGUUGGUGAGGUAAUGGCUCACCAAGGCUUACGGGUAGCCGGCCUGAGAGGGUGAUCGGCCACACUGGGACUGAGACACUGCCCAGACUCCUACGGGAGGCUGCAGUCGAGAAUCAUUGACAAUGUACGAAAGUAUGAUCAUGCGACGCCGCGUGGAGGAAGACGGCCUUCGGGUUGUAAACUCCUGUCAGCAGGGAAGAAGGAUAGCUUUAUUAAUACUUUUGCUAUUUGACGGUACCUGCAGAGGAAGUCACGGCUAACUCUGUG
rnacentral:rRNA from 1 species